rnacentral:rRNA from 1 species
AGAGUUUGAUCAUGGCUCAGGAUGAACGCUAGCUACAGGCUUAACACAUGCAAGUCGAGGGGAAACGAUAUUGGAAGCUUGCUUCCGAUAGGCGUCGACCGGCGCACGGGUGAGUAACGCGUAUCCAACCUGCCCACCACUUGGGGAUAACCUUGCGAAAGUAAGACUAAUACCCAAUGACGUCUCUAGAAGACAUCUGAAAGAGAUUAAAGAUUUAUCGGUGAUGGAUGGGGAUGCGUCUGAUUAGCUUGGUUGGCGGGGGUAACGGCCCACCAAGGCUACGAUCGAGUAGGGGUUCUGAGAGGAAGGUCCCCCACAUUGGAACUGAGACACGGUCCAAACUCCGUACGGGAGGCA